rnacentral:rRNA from 1 species
UACACUCCUGCGGGAGGCAGCAGUGGGGAAUUUUGGACAAUGGGCGAAAGCCUGAUCCAGCAAUGCCGCGUGCAGGAUGAAGGCCUUCGGGUUGUAAACUGCUUUUGUAUGGAACGAAAAAGCUCCUUCUAAUACAGGGGGCCCAUGACGGUACCGUAAGAAUAAGCACCGGCUAACUACGUGCCAGCAGCCGCGGUAAUACGUAGGGUGCGAGCGUUAAUCGGAAUUACUGGGCGUAAAGCGUGCGCAGGCGGUUAUGUAAGACAGAUGUGAAAUCCCCGGGCUCAACCUGGGAACUGCAUUUGUGACUGCAUGGCUAGAGUACGGUAGAGGGGGAUGGAAUUCCGCGUGUAGCAGUGAAAUGCGUAGAUAUGCGGAGGAACACCGAUGGCGAAGGCAAUCCCCUGGACCUGUACUGACGCUCAUGCACGAAAGCGUGGGGAGCAAACAGGAUUAGAUACCCUGGUAGUCC